rnacentral:lncRNA from 1 species
UUUUUUUUUUGAAACAAGAAAACUUUUAUUCCAUUCAAAAAAUAAGUCUGUACAAGGUGAUCACAACUGAUCCAACCACUCAAAGGGGACAAGCAAAAACAUACAGAGAGGCUAAUUCUAGAUUAGCAAAUGAGCAAUGUGCUCCCUAAGCUUAGCAUUCCUCCAACCUCUAUAAACUAUAGUAUUGAUAAUGUCUUCAUCUAUGUUUGUGUUAUAUACUUUGUUGCCAAAACAAACAUCAUUCCUAUAUUU